rnacentral:lncRNA from 1 species
UUAAAUAAACAUUUAACUUUAUAAACUAAUGCUAAGUAUGUUACCUUCUUGAUUUUCAUGUAUUUUGGAUAAGUCUAGCAAAUUUAAAAACAAAAGUGUUAGUUAAAUUAUGGGAAUGCUUACUAAUAUAAAGAAUACAAAAGCUUAUUUUAUAAAUUAAAAUUUAUAUAUUACCAUCUUCCAUUGUUUGAAGUUCAUCAAAAUAAUCUUCAUAAAAUAUAGUGUGUAGUGAAUGUUUUGUGAAACUCUUUGUUGUGUUGUAUGAUUUUACACCUAAUGUUGGUUUGCUUUGCACUUAAUUGUCCAUGUUACUAUAAACAAGGGAACAUAUAUCUGUAUAGACUAUGCUGUGAUUAAAGUGGAAGACAUGUUUUGUUUAUUAGACAAGAUUUAUGUACUGUUCAAGCCACUUGAUUCAUUCAUCAUGCUUAGCAUCAAUAGGUCUUCCAAGAUUCAGAAUGUUGGUUAAUUUGUUUGUAUGGUACUAAUGGUUGAGAUUUUCUGCUGUUUUAUAUAUAUGUCAUGCCCCAUGUGUAGUUCAUUGUGCUUGAUUAUUCUCUCUAGUUUCAAAACUUUGAUGGAUCCUUUGCUCUUUCUAAU